rnacentral:rRNA from 1 species
GUGAACGAGCGACGCCGCGUGCGGGAUGAAGGGCUUCGGCUUGUAAACCGCUUUUGUUUGGGAAGAAGGCCUAUAUCGUGAAUAUGGGAUUGACGGUACCAGACGAAUAAGCCCCGGCUAACUCCGUGCCAGCAGCCGCGGUAAUACAGAGGUCCCAACCGUUGUUCGGAUUCAUUGGGCGUAAAGGGUGCGUAGGCGGCGGGGUAAGUCAGGUGUGAAAUCUCGGGGCUCAACCCCGAAACUGCACUUGAUACUGCCUUGCUAGAGUACUGGAGAGGAGACUGGAAUUUACGGUGUAGCAGUGAAAUGCGUAGAUAUCGUAAGGAAGACCAGUGGCGAAGGCGAGUCUCUGGACAGUUACUGACGCUGAGGCACGAAGGCCAGGGGAGCAAACGGGAUUAGAUACCCCGGUAGUCCUGGCCGUAAACGAU